rnacentral:lncRNA from 1 species
GGAAGGAAGAGCCCCAGUGUGUGAUUAGGGCGAUGCUGACCCAGGAGUUCAGUCAGUGCUGCCCUGGACUUCCUCUCUGCCCUUGGGGUGAAUGCUCAGAGAAACAACAUGCUGGUGCUGCUGCUCCUGGACAUAGCUCAGGCAUUAAAGGAUGUGUCUUUUUGGCUACUGCUCUGCUGGAGCUGAAACUUUCCCAAAACUCACAGCUAAGCAGUUCAGUGUGUGUUGCGUGGGACAGCUACAGAAUUCCAAUUACUGCAACAGGACUGUUUUCUUGCAAAUUUGUGUGGGCGCACAGUCAUGAGAUGUGUGAGGGACCACAGUAUACUGCCUACAAACAAAUGGCUGCAGUGCAUGAAAUUGUCCAGGGACAUUAUCCUACACUGGAAGGAAAGUGUAUGCAGGUUUACCUGAAGAAGCAGCAACUUUCGUGAGGGAGCUGGGAACCUUGAGCUGUAUUUUCCUUGGGGAAUAUGUGGGUGUCUUCAUGAGUUUUGUCACACUAUCUGAGUUCUGUGAUAAGGUAAGAAUUUCCAGGCAUCUAUUUGGUUACAUAAAUGACACAAACAGCCUUAUUGUUUGAAAAGCACAGUAACCCUCAACAAUCCACUAAUUAUGUUCACAACUUUCUGAAAUGAACUAUUCUGCAAUUAUGGGUUAUAUUUAAUGUUUCUAUGAGAACACUUUGCUAUAUUCU